UUUAUAUUUUUUUACUAAAAUACAUAAAUUAUUUAAUUUCUAAUAAAAUUAUUGUGAAUAGGUAUAGCGUAUAUAAUAUUAUACUAUUUUAAAGAAUUUACUUUUAAGUGCCUGUACAUGUGAGUACAAAAAAUAGGUCAGACUAAGAACAUGAAAUGUGAUAUAAAUACAAAAUAAUGGGUAAAAAUCCUGUCAAAAUAGUUAUUUUCGAUACAAAGCCAGUGCCAUUACCCAGUGAUUUAUUGCAGGUACCAAUAUUUUGAAGGGAUUUUUACUCAUACGAGUAUAGUAAGUUAUAAUUAAUAAAUUAUAAUAAUGUUAAAAUUAAGUUUUUAUUUGACAGCUUGAUGGAGUCAACUUUUAUUUAA